GGGUUGUACACUUCUUUUAUAUUAGAAUAAAGUGCAGUAUGUAUACUGUUUUGUAUGUAUAAUAUGAAUAAGGAUCGGCUAACUCCGUGCCAGCAGCCGCGGUAAUACGGAGGAUCCGAGCGUUAUCCGGAUUUAUUGGGUUUAAAGGGAGCGUAGGUGGGCUGGUAAGUCAGUUGUGAAAGUUUGCGGCUCCACCGUAAAAUUGCAGUUGAUACUGUCAGUCUUGAGUACAGUAGAGGUGGGCGGAAUUCGUGGUGUAGCGGUGAAAUGCUUAGAUAUCACGAAGAACUCCGAUUGCGAAGGCAGCUCACUGGACUGCAACUGACACUGAUGCUCGAAAGUGUGGGUAUCAAACAGGAUUAGAUACCCUGGUAGUCCACACAGUAAA
rnacentral:rRNA from 1 species